ACUUUGAGAUCCAGAUGGCCACCGUUGUUGGCGAGAGCCCCCCCUCACAAGAUGGCCGCCAGGCUGCCACCCGGCCAGGGAGAGGGCGCUCCAGGCUGCCAGCCCCUCCUGCAGGCAGUCCAGAGAAGGAUGUCGCCUUCUCCGUCAGCAUGAGACACGCCUUCGUACCCUUCUCAGGAGGGAUGAUCCUAGCUGCAGAUUAUUCCCAG